GUCAAAUCAGCACGGCCCUUACGUCCGGGGCGACACACGUGUUACAAUGGGGGGUACAGCGGGUUGCUACCACGCGAGUGGAUGCUAAUCUCGAAAAGCCUCUCACAGUUCGGAUCGGAGUCUGCAACUCGACUUCGUGAAGCUGGAUUCGCUAGUAAUCGCGCAUCAGCCAUGGCGCGGUGAAUACGUUCCCGGGCCUU
rnacentral:rRNA from 1 species